GGACAUUUCUCUCCCAACUGCCCUGAAAACGACCAAAAAGAAGAGAAAAAGAAAGAAUCUGCCAAAACCACAGGCUGUUUUAUUUGUAAACAAGAAGACCACUGGAUGAAAGACUGUCCAGAUAGAGAGGAAUAUUACAAAAAUAAAUACAAAAACAAAGAUACAGGUAAAAAGCAUGGCCAAGAAGCCGCAGCAUUGUUAGACGAGUACAUGGAGGACGAAUCCGAUAAGGAAAACAUUGCCCCCUACAAGCAACCUAACAAGAAGAAUAAGAAAGAAAAAAAACCCAGAAAGGAGCAUUCAAAGAAAAAAGGAAAAAAGAAUGAAGAGGACAUGCAUGUUGAUGAAGACGAUGAAACAUAUUCUUGUUGUUAAAUAAGAACUAUCCUUAGAGACCUCAUUGUUUGUUCGACUUUCACUGUUUGUUGUUUGUUGUUUGUUGUUUAUCCUCAAUAAAACUAUUUUUAACCUUU
rnacentral:sRNA from 1 species